rnacentral:rRNA from 1 species
GGACUACCCGGGUUUCUAAUCCUGUUUGCUCCCCACGCUUUCGCGUCUCAGCGUCAGUGUCUGUCCAGGUCGCCGCCUUCGCCACUGGUGUUCCUCCCGAUAUCUACGAAUUUCACCUCUACACCGGGAAUUCCGCGACCCUCUCCAGCACUCAAGCUCGCCAGUUUUCCGCGCACUUCCCUGGUUAAGCCAGGGGCUUUCACACGGAACUUAACAAGCCGCCUACAAGCGCUUUACGCCCAAUAAUUCCGAACAACGCUCGCACCCUCUGUAUUACCGCGGCUGCUGGCAC